UACGUAGGGGGCAAGCGUUGUCCGGAAUCAUUGGGCGUAAAGAGCGUGUAGGCGGUCCGGUAAGUCCGUUGUGAAAGUCGAGGGCUCAACCCUCGAAUGCCGGCGGAUACUGUCGGACUAGAGUCCGGAAGAGGCGAGUGGAAUUCCUGGUGUAGCGGUGAAAUGCGCAGAUAUCAGGAGGAACACCGAUGGCGAAGGCAGCUCGCUGGGACGGUACUGACGCUGAGACGCGAAAGCGUGGGGAGCAAACAGG
rnacentral:rRNA from 1 species